rnacentral:rRNA from 1 species
UACGUAGGGGGCAAGCGUUAUCCGGAUUUACUGGGUGUAAAGGGAGCGUAGACGGCAAUGCAAGUCUGGAGUGAAAGGCGGGGGCCCAACCCCCGGACUGCUCUGGAAACUGUAUAGCUGGAGUGCAGGAGAGGUAAGUGGAAUUCCUAGUGUAGCGGUGAAAUGCGUAGAUAUUAGGAGGAACACCAGUGGCGAAGGCGGCUUACUGAACUGUAACUGACGUUGAGGCUCGAAAGCGUGGGGAGCAAACAGG